CCUGCCAGAGAACAAACUGUGUUCAGGUGAAACAUGAGCUGUGAAUGAGUCAGGAGAGGGUUAACUUCCUCGCCCCUCUUCCUGCGGCUCAGCCUGUCAUGAAACCUGUUUCUACUUGCCUGAACAUUUCUGACUCGAGGUGUCAGCCGGUUCACAAAGAGUCUUCACAUCUCUCUGUCGGCUCGACGUCUCGCCAUGUUCAGAUCCCUCUGCAGGUUUGGUGUCCGCUGCUCUCGGCCUGCAAGAGUCAGAAUCUACACGUCCAGUUGGGUCUGGUCUGCGUACGGUGUGUCCAGUUACAGCAGCCAAGCUCCAUCUGAAGAUGUGUCUGUGCGUUACAGCCUCGGCCGGCCGGUCCUCUCUCUGCGCCUCCCCACAGGUCAGCAGCGUCGUUUCACUCUGACGCCCAUGUUGACCACGGUCGGUGACCUGCUGCAUGACAUCAAAGCAAAGGACCCCGGGGUGCACACCGCCACCCUGCUCAAUGGAGACGGACAGAGAAUCUCUUCAUGCACCUUCAUGGAAACUGUUCUGACAGAAGAUUUUCAGCUGGUCAUCAAUGACGUCACACACAACGUCCGCUCGCUUGGACAAGGUUCGUCUCAUGAACACGUGUUGGGUGUGGACGACAUGAAGUACGUGGUCCGUCUGCUGCACUCGGCUCUGACUCUUCCUCAGCAGCAGCACAUCAAACACACAGAGCUGCUGAUCAGACAGGAGCAGCUCAGGGAGCAGCUGCAGCCGCUCGAGACGGUGCAAAUCAAGUUAGCGAAGGCGGCGGACAAGAGAGCAUGGUUGCUGGGGUGGGCGGGGCUUGCCUACCUGUCGCUGCAGGGAGGAUUCCUGGGUUACCUCACCUGGUACGUGUUCGCCUGGGACGUCAUGGAACCAGUCACCUACUUCAUCUCCUACACCACCAGCAUGAUCUUCUUCGCCUACUACAUCCUCACCAAACAGGUAGGAGCCCCGUCUCCGUGACGACCACAGACUGUAUACGAAGAUGGACAGUGUGUCUCCUCUUCCUCCCCCUGUACACAAAUGAAGCCCAAAUAUACCAGAUGUGGCCGCCGCCGUCUUGUGCUGCUGACGUCAUUCGGAGCCAGAGUCUGGCUUUAUCGUGAGCUGAACACUGAUUGGCUCACAGAGUUGUCAAUCAUGACAUCACAUCCCCCUUUUUGCAGCCUCAAGUAACUGAUGACAGGAAAGACUGCCUGUAUACGCAAGCGAGGGAUCGUCAGUUCCUUCACUUCUUCCACCAGCGAGCACAGGGACAGAAGUUCAAUGUUCAAAAAUACAACGAGCUCAAAGACGAGCUGGCAAAG